CUUUAUUUAAAGGUUCAACAACAAUAUGAGGUGAUCUUAUUUUAUGUACGUGACAGUCUGGCAAGAUAGGUGUCGUCGACUCUAUUUUACAAGGGACGAAACUGAAGCUGCAGAGGGCGAAGGAAUGUGUGCAGGGCUACAUACUAAGUAAGAUGCAGGGCAUCCAUGUGAGUGACUCCGGGGACCCUCUGAAAGUGCCAAUCUUGGGAAAGUUUUCAGCCUGAAUCGACAUGUCUCUUGCGGCUUCUGCUAUUCAAAUGCAGCUGUAAUUAAGCAAAUGCCAUCAGGAAAGAAUCGGAGAAGAACCCAGUCGUGAAAUCGGGAAAUCGUCAACGGCUUAUUCAGGCAGACAAAAGCCACAGCAACCCAGAGAAGAAUGUGUUCAUCUCGCUCCCCAGGCAGGCUUCUGAGUCAUGGAAUUUUUCACAAAGUCCUGGCUUGCCUUGUUCGGCAAAGGCGUCUCUGAGGACUUCACGGGGCUGCUUGGAAAAGCGAAAGCCCAGGGUCCAGCAUUGCCCCCCUCUUCUGCAAUCACUCCUUGCGAUUUCUGUGUAGUUCCCCUUGGCGACAUUGGGUGUCACCUCUGAGUCGUCUGAAGCCAAUCAUCCCAGGACAUCGACAAAGUGCGUCGUUUUCCAAGAGUCUCUGGCUCUGCAAGACCCAGCUGGGAGGCGUCCAUCGCCAGCACUCGAGCCCCCAAGUGAGCCUGGCUAAUCUGGUUUUCAUCUGAGGGCCUAACGCAUUGUCCUGGACAAAGUCUCCCUGCAGCUGGAUAAGCUUUGAGUUUGAUAACUGGCUCCACAGUCA